AGUAGGAUGGCUGAAGGAUUUAGGUAAUAAAUUGUAAAUUUAUUGAUGAGUUAAUUACUCUUCUACUA
rnacentral:tRNA from 1 species